UGAGGUAAAACUACUAUUAUAACCUCACUAGAAAUUUUAUUAUCCUAACAGGUGAGUUGUAAUAGGUGCUCAUUUUAGUCUUGAUUUUUUCUUUUCUUUUCUUUUUUAGAACAAAUUGUGUUCCUGUAGGGGAAGGUAUAAACUUACUAAAUUUUCCAUAUGCUGAUGGAGAGCUAAAAAUGAAUUGGGAGGCCAAGGCUCAACUGCUUGCUCUUUUAUUUGCUCUGUAGACUGUGAAUGAAACAGCUGGAAGGUGGAAGGAAAGAGGGAUUACUCUCACAAAGGUGAAAGUGUGAAGUGGUCAAGCUCCCAAAGUUGCCAAGAGAAAUGAACUCAUCUAGCUAGUGUUUUGGAGAAGAAAACUUACAGUAGUAUUGUAGUUCUUCAACUGACAAACAGCAGAAGAGGAAAGGGAACAUUAAAAAAAAAAAAAGUUUGAUUCUGAGGAAAAGUAUCAUCUCCUUGGUAGAUACAAGCAUUAUCACCUCCUGGUCAGACUUGAUGUAUUUGCCUAUUUCAUACAUACUAAUGUAUUUAAAUACGUACGUCGUGUCUAUUUAAUAUAUUAAACUCAGCAUAUAGUAUAUAUACACAUAUAAAAUAUGCAGCAGAAUGAAUUGUACCUCUUUAUGUGCUUGAACAAAGAUUUGCUUUGCAGAAAAGUUGACAGCCUUUUACCAUAACUGGGACACUGUUUUAUUUGAUGAGGAACAGCAGAUUUUGGUUUCAAAAAUUUCAUUUUGAUUUAAGAAAAACUCAGUGCUCCCUGGAAACUUCUAGCAUUCAACCCAGCCACAGCUGGCACUAAUUUAAGGUAUCUCAGCUUUACAUCUGACUGUGAAAGGGAAGCAUAAAGGGUCUGUUGUUUUGGGGAAAUAAGUUUGUCUAGUCUUUAGGGUUCUUUCUGGCUCAGGGCUCCCAGGAAACCUUCUCAGAUGCAAUAGAUCAGCAGUUUUGUAAGGUAAGUACUUCUGCAUGAGCAUUUUCUGAAAUAUUGUAAUAAGGCUGUUGUGAACUCUAUGCACUUCUGACUCAAGAAGUAGAAAGUAUCUCCAUGACAGAAUAUGGGAUUUCUAGCGUGAUGUUUUUUUCAUGCUCUGUAAGUGGAUGUAUUCAGAAAUCUUAUUUCUUUACAAGAGAGCUUCAGGUCCCAGUGCAUCUCCUCUAAAUUCUUUUUGUAAUUUCUGUAAGUCUGAGGUAGUUUUGCUACAGCACUGCCAUCUUAAUGCUAUUGAAAGUGCUUCUGCUCCAGAUGAGGCUAACUGGGUUAUAGAUCCAGAGUUCAUUUUUCUAAAACUGGGAUUCUGAAUGCUUGCUACUUGUUGUCUAAUGUGCAUGAGCUCAUCUCUCUCCCUCGCUCUUUCUGUUUGGCUUGCUUUUGAUAAGAAGGCUGUUGGCAUCAUCUUGAUGGUCUAUUUGAAUUUUCAUUAUGUAGACCUUGCUUCCAGGCAGACUUUUUGCAAAGUUAUCUCACUUGGAAAUUUCCUAGUUUAGAUUUAGGGCAAUGAGUUAGGCAAGUAGUCUUAUUUCUAAACAUCUGGUGAUGGUACAAAGUCAUUUGCAAUUUUAUUUGAUGUUUAAGUCCUUGGUCUAAUAAUGUUUUGUUGUUGAUUUAUCUAUGGCAGGCACCUGUUUUUCACUGUUGUAGCAGAAAUGUUAAGUCACAGCCUGAACCAGUGAUUGAGCACCUGGUGGGAAGGCAGGGCCAACCCAGGGGAGCUCAGGUGCAUGCAAUGAACCUGAGUGAGCAGAAGGGGUGCAGGCAGGAUCCGCCCCUUCCCAGACUUCAUUUAAAGGUUGGCAGUGGAGGCAAGGGUAUCUUGCUGAAGAUUGCUGCAUAUCUCAGGUCUUCCUAAGGCUGAAAUGUGCCAGGGUUACCAAGGUGCAAGUAGCAGAUUGAACGAGCACUGUGGCUGAGUAAUGUGAACAGGGGUGAUUCCUCAGGCAAGCGUAGUGAAACAGCUACUGGUCCUACUUCAAUCCACUGUAUUCAUAUGGUGAAAUGACUCUGGCUUGAUGAACAGACAUAAGAACAGAACAGACAUGAGACAAAGUACACGUGUCAUGAAUGUCAUUAAGAACACAUUCUCUUGAUUUUUCUUUAGAAACAAAAUGUUAACAGCAUUAUUGUGAGGGUAAAUUAUGAAGAUAAUGCAUCUCCAUUCAUCACAAUCUAAAAGAGCUGCAGUGAAAGAAACAAAAUCCAAACAACUUAAAUGAAAAUCAAAAUGUUAUUGCAAAUCAUGAGACUGUGAAGGAAAAAAAUUACUACAGAGGUAAUAAACCAGACUGUUAUUGUUUGUGCUGUAAGAGCUUUCUCUAAUUUCUUGGGCUAACAAACAAUCCUAUUUAAUUACAAAAGCAUUCUUCUUGAUUAGAGUUGGCUAGUCCUUGCUUGUAUCCUACUGUAUUUCAUGAAUAGAUCAGCUAAGUGUUCUUGAUCAUGUGACAGACUUGGCUGACUACUGCUGCAUAUUUGAAUUGAAGGGAGGAAAAAAAAAAAGGCUGCUUAACUGCAUUCUUUUUUUUUAUUAGCACCAUUCCAAGCCAUAUAACAUCUUUUUUUGGCUGAGUCCAAGCUCUUAGUGUUACUUCCCAAUUUGAAAAGAGAUGAAAGAAAAAGAGGGGGGGGGGUGUUCCAAGUCCACUUAAAUCUGAUCUUGGUUAAAGAGAAAGUAAUUCUCAAUUGACCAGUGAUGUUGCAUUGUGCAGGAGUACAACGGUUUUUCUAAAGCUAGGCACUUUCUAAGUGUUUAGACACUUUCCAGCUGAAAGUUACAUUUGUAUUUUGAUUGAGAAAGAUUGUUCAGGCACAAAAUAUUUUCAGUGAGCUAGAAGGAAUAACUGAAGAAAUACGGGAUUUCAAUCUCCUCACCUGGAUGAGGUGACAUCGUAUCUUGGGUCUCUCACUGCUCACAGUGAGAUCCUGGCAGUGUCAAGCAGUGUGUUCCUGUCAGUAGGGUGUCACAUGUUACCAAGAAAACAAUGGUAGUUAG